rnacentral:rRNA from 1 species
CGGGACACGUGGUAUCCUGUCUGAAUAUGGGGGGACCAUCCUCCAAGGCUAAAUACUCCUGACUGACCGAUAGUGAACCAGUACCGUGAGGGAAAGGCGAAAAGAACCCCGGCGAGGGGAGUGAAAAAGAACCUGAAACCGUGUACGUACAAGCAGUGGGAGCACGCUUAGGCGUGUGACUGCGUACCUUUUGUAUAAUGGGUCAGCGACUUAUAUUCUGUAGCAAGGUUAACCGAAUAGGGGAGCCGAAGGGAAACCGAGUCUUAACUGGGCGUUAAGUUGCAGGGUAUAGACCCGAAACCCGGUGAUCUAGCCAUGGGCAGGUUGAAGGUUGGGUAACACUAACUGGAGGACCGAACCGACUAAUGUUGAAAAAUUAGCGGAUGACUUGUGGCUGGGGGUGAAAGGCCAAUCAAACCGGGAGAUAGCUGGUUCUCCCCGAAAGCUAUUUAGGUAGCGCCUCGUGAAUUCAUCUCCGGGGGUAGAGCACUGUUUCGGCAAGGGGGUCAUCCCGACUUACCAACCCGAUGCAAACUGCGAAUACCGGAGAAUGUUAUCACGGGAGACACACGGCGGGUGCUAACGUCCGUCGUGAAGAGGGAAACAACCCAGACCGCCAGCUAAGGUCCCAAAGUCAUGGUUAAGUGGGAAACGAUGUGGGAAGGCCCAGACAGCCAGGAUGUUGGCUUAGAAGCAGCCAUCAUUUAAAGAAAGCGUAAUAGCUCACUGGUCGAGUCGGCCUGCGCGGAAGAUGUAACGGGGCUAAACCAUGCACCGAAGCUGCGGCAGCGACGCUGAUGCGUUGUUGGGUAGGGGAGCGUUCUGUAAGCCUGUGAAGGUGUGCUGUGAGGCAUGCUGGAGGUAUCAGAAGUGCGAAUGCUGACAUAAGUAACGAUAAAGCGGGUGAAAAGCCCGCUCGCCGGAAGACCAAGGGUUCCUGUCCAACGUUAAUCGGGGCAGGGUGAGUCGACCCCUAAGGCGAGGCCGAAAGGCGUAGUC